rnacentral:rRNA from 1 species
GCAGAACGCGAAGAACCUUACCUGGGUUUGACAUGGCCGCAAAACUGUCAGAGAUGGCAGGUCCUUCGGGGGCGGUCACAGGUGGUGCAUGGCUGUCGUCAGCUCGUGUCGUGAGAUGUUGGGUUAAGUCCCGCAACGAGCGCAACCCUCGUUCGAUGUUGCCAGCGCGUUAUGGCGGGGACUCAUCGAAGACUGCCGGGGUCAACUCGGAGGAAGGUGGGGAUGACGUCAAGUCAUCAUGCCCCUUAUGUCCAGGGCUUCACGCAUGCUACAAUGGCCGGUACAAUGGGCUGCGAUACCGUGAGGUGGAGCGAAUCCCAAAAAGCCGGUCUCAGUUCGGAUCGGGGUCUGCAACUCGACCCCAUGAAGUCGGAGUCGCUAGUAAUCGCAGAUCAGCAACGCUGCGGUGAAUACGUUCCCGGGUCUUGUACACACCG